rnacentral:rRNA from 1 species
UGGGGAAUAUUGCACAAUGGGCGCAAGCCUGAUGCAGCCAUGCCGCGUGUGUGAAGAAGGCCUUCGGGUUGUAAAGCACUUUCAGCGGGGAGGAAGGCGGUGAGGUUAAUAACCUCACCGAUUGACGUUACCCGCAGAAGAAGCACCGGCUAACUCCGUGCCAGCAGCCGCGGUAAUACGGAGGGUGCAAGCGUUAAUCGGAAUUACUGGGCGUAAAGCGCACGCAGGCGGUCUGUCAAGUCGGAUGUGAAAUCCCCGGGCUCAACCUGGGAACUGCACUCGAAACUGGCAGGCUAGAGUCUUGUAGAGGGGGGUAGAAUUCCAGGUGUAGCGGUGAAAUGCGUAGAGAUCUGGAGGAAUACCGGUGGCGAAGGCGGCCCCCUGGACAAAGACUGACGCUCAGGUGCGAAAGCGUGGGGAGCAAACAGG